rnacentral:rRNA from 1 species
UACGUAGGUGGCGAGCGUUGUCCGGAAUUACUGGGUGUAAAGGGCGUGUAGGCGGGAAUGUAAGUCAGAUGUGAAAUACCAUGGCUCAACUGUGGGGCUGCAUCUGAAACUAUGUUUCUUGAGUGCUGGAGAGGAAAGCGGAAUUCCUAGUGUAGCGGUGAAAUGCGUAGAUAUUAGGAGGAACACCAGUGGCGAAGGCGGCUUUCUGGACAGUAACUGACGCUGAGGCGCGAAAGCGUGGGGAGCAAACAGG